CCGUACACAAAAGCGCAUGUGCUGUGAGCUCGAUGAGUAGGGCGGGACACGUGGUAUCCUGUCUGAAUAUGGGGGGACCAUCCUCCAAGGCUAAAUACUCCUGACUGACCGAUAGUGAACCAGUACCGUGAGGGAAAGGCGAAAAGAACCCCGGCGAGGGGAGUGAAAAAGAACCUGAAACCGUGUACGUACAAGCAGUGGGAGCCCCACCACUAAGCCAGUGGUGAACUCCACAUCCGCAUCCUUUGCUGAGGAUACGGUUAACGGAGCGAAAGCGACGUUCAACCGCAAAACAAGCAGAGGGGGCUUAGUGGUGGGGUGACUGCGUACCUUUUGUAUAAUGGGUCAGCGACUUAUAUUCUGUAGCAAGGUUAACCGAAUAGGGGAGCCGGAGGGAAACCGAGUCUUAAUUGGGCGUUAAGUUGCAGGGUAUAGACCCGAAACCCGGUGAUCUAGCCAUGGGCAGGUUGAAGGUUGGGUAACACUAACUGGAGGACCGAACCGACUAAUGUUGAAAAAUUAGCGGAUGACCUGUGGCUGGGGGUGAAAGGCCAAUCAAACCGGGAGAUAGCUGGUUCUCCCCGAAAGCUAUUUAGGUAGCGCCUCGUGAAUUCAUCUCCGGGGGUAGAGCACUGUUUCGGCUAGGGGGCCAUCCCGGCUUACCAACCCGAUGCAAACUGCGAAUACCGGAGAAUGUUAUCACGGGAGACACACGGCGGGUGCUAACGUCCGUCGUGAAGAGGGAAACAACCCAGACCGCCAGCUAAGGUCCCAAAGUCAUGGUUAAGUGGGAAACGAUGUGGGAAGGCCCAGACAGCCAGGAUGUUGGCUUAGAAGCAGCCAUCAUUUAAAGAAAGCGUAAUAGCUCACUGGUCGAGUCGGCCUGCGCGGAAGAUGUAACGGGGCUAAACCAUGCACCGAAGCUGCGGCAGCGAACGUAUCACCCAAGACAACUUUACGGAGUUGACGAUUGACGGAGCGAAGCGACGUCAAAGCGUUCAUUAAAGUCGAGUUGGCUUAGGGAUACGUUCGUUGGGUAGGGGAGCGUUCUGUAAGCCUGUGAAGGUGUGUCGUGAGGCAUGCUGGAGGUAUCAGAAGUGCGAAUGCUGACAUAAGUAACGAUAAAGCGGGUGAAAAGCCCGCUCGCCGGAAGACCAAGGGUUCCUGUCCAACGUUAAUCGGGGCAGGGUGAGUCGACCCCUAAGGCGAGGCCGAAAGGCGUAGUCGAUGGGAAACGGGUUAAUAUUCCCGUACUUGGUGUUACUGCGAAGGGGGGACGGAGAAGGCUAUGUUGGCCGGGCGACGGUUGUCCCGGUUUAAGCGUGUAGGUGUGUGUUCCAGGUAAAUCCGGUUCACUUUAACACUGAGGCGUGACGACGAGGCACUACGGUGCUGAAGCAACAAAUGCCCUGCUUCCAGGAAAA
rnacentral:rRNA from 1 species